rnacentral:rRNA from 1 species
AGGAUGAACGCUGGCGGCGUGCCUAACGCAUGCAAGUCGAACGUGAUAAGUUAGCAAUAACUUUGAAAGUGGCGAACGGGUGAGUAACACGUAGGUAACCUGCCGCGCAGAGGGGGAUAACGACUGGAAACGGUCGCUAACACCGCAUGGUACUGUCAAGACGGGAGUCUCGACGGUUAAAACCUUGGUGCUGCGCGAGGGGUCUGCGUCCGAUUAGUUAGUUGGUGAGGUAACGGCUCACCAAGACGAUGAUCGGUAGCUAGUCUGAGAGGAUGAUUAGCCACACGGGAACUGAGACACGGUCCCGACUCCUACGGGGGGCAGCAGUGAGGAAUAUUGCACAAUGGACGCAAGUCUGAUGCAGCAACGCCGCGUGGAGGAUGAAGGUCUUUGGAUCGUAAACUCCUUUUCUCAGGGAAGAGAAUGGACGGUACCUGAGGAAUAAGUCACGGCUAACUACGUGCCAGCAGCCGC